AUAAGGCUUUAUCUUGGUUCACUUAUGGGUUUGAUAGCAGAGAUAAUAUCUUCGAGUUAUUGUUUAAGAAUAAGACAAAGUUUAAGUCAUAAAAGAAUGAUUGAAGUUAUUAAAUUAUUAAGUCAUUAACACUAAAAUAAUGCCGUUGUUUUGUAGAGAUCAACACCACAGCAACUCCCGAUGCACCGAAUCCCGUCUGCGGAAUAAUCAAACCUGCUACGUACUCGUUACAUAUUUUCUUCUCUCUCCAUAUUUGGCAGCAGCUAUAGCCUAUAGCAUUUCAUACACAAUCUGCAAAGUGCAAACAAUUACUCGCCAUUUUCCUCAAUCUAUCUCUUCCAUUGGAAUUUGGAGGAGUGCCUUCUACUCUACGCAUCGUCGUCGACUGUAAUACUUCACUUUUGCUCGCGCCGGUUGAAAAAAUAUCUCGAAUAAGAAGGUAAUUUACGAAUCAUCGUUAUACUACCUUUUUUUUUCUCUGUGUUGUUGUGUCCUUUCAUCCUCAGGUUUUGGAUGUAUGUUUCCAACUCCAAGCCUUAGUUUUUGAUGGUGCCGUCUGGUCUACGUGCGUAAAGUUGUUAGUGUUCUGAGAAAAAUAGAUGAUAAUAUACAAUAUUGGAUUUAAGAGGUGUGCGUUAUGUGUAUAUUAUUAGAAUUUGGUAGUAUUUUAAUUUUGAUCGCACAAGAGAGAGGAUAUGAAGGGAUCAACAUAUACUCUUUGACCUAAAAAAUUCGAUCGGAACUGUGCGAUUGCGCUUUGGAAACUAUACACGUAGUUUUGUUGUAACAUGAUGCAUAUUCCGGCUUACUGAAUGCAGAAUUCACGUACAUCCCUUCCCCCUUUUCUUUGAGGGGCAUUUACUGACGAUGAUUAGCCUAAGAUGAUUUGGAACUUUGGGAUAUCGAGCAGCUAACUUGCUCGAUUAAUAUCCCACUGAAUGAGGCAGGAGCUGGAAAAAUCCUAACAAUGAAUAUAACUACUCAAUCAUGUAUAUUAGUAUCAAUUAGGAAAGCAAAUGUGAUUUGUAUUAUUCAUCCUUCUUUAGGAGCCGAUAAGAGUAUCUUUUUUUUUUUGUAAUUGUUAUGAUGGUCUAACUUCUAGUUUGAUACUUGUUUUCAUUGUGUGGCCUUUCACUUCUUGAACUAACUAUUGUAUUGAUCAAUUCCUUUGAGGAAAAAAUUGUUUUAUUGAUCCAUUGAGAUAACUAGAAAUACUAAUGAUCCAGUUUUAUUUAGCUCAUAUGUAAGAGCUGACAGAUGCUUCUAUUUGUUUUUCUGGAAAUAGGAAGAGCACAUCUUGUUGGAUUUUCGUAACGGACUUUAGGACUAUGUAUUCAUACUAUUACUUUGAUGUUUUUAUAGUGUGAGCAUACCUUCAUAGUUCUUAUCUGCUUCCUCUACACAUGUUCAAAAAAUCUUGCCUUUGUUUGAUUUUCUUCGCAUGAUCAACAUCAUGAUUCACUAGAUGAUUCAGUUGAAAGUUGUCAUCCUGAUUACAUAUGUGGUCAAUAUCAUCUUUGGAGCCUAUUAGUCACUUUUGAAUAUAGUUUUUAUGAUUUUCAGUCCUUUUUGUUUGCUAAUAUCGUCAUGUUCUAUUUUCAUCUGGCUCAAUAGUAUCAUUGGCUCAAAUUGAUGUUCACGCACUUAAAAAGUUUAACCAUUAUAUUUAUUUGCAAAUUGGCUGCCAUUUGUGCUCUGACUUCUAAAUUAAAGGAGUAUCAUGGCAUGAAUCUAGAGAAUGUAUCGUUGUGCCAGUUGAUUUGGAUAUUAGUAAUCUCCCAACUGUGGAAUUUUAAAUAAAAUCUCUACAAAGGGUCAGUAAGCAAUCAAGCACAACAUUUAGAAAUGAGGGAAAAAUAUCAGACCUUUUGUUUGCGGGAGAUCUGUAGCUGAUUUUCCAGAUUUUGGAGGUCAUUGAUGCUCAAUCCUGAAAGCUCUUCUCCUAAAAGCUGCCUGUACUUAUCAGAAAAGGGCAUGUGGUAUAUUCUUAAUUUCUCAUCUCACUCUUAACAUAUUUUUACUCUAACUGAUGGUAACUUAAAUCUCAUUGGCCAAUGUUGUCUUACACAACAAUCUUCGAAUGUUUUUGGUCGUACUCUCGAAAUUCCAUUAUUCUUUACUUGAUGUGUAGAGAAAAUAUGCAUUUGGUUCCUUAAUUUCUAAGACAAGUAAUAUAACUGAGUAUAAUGAGAAGAAAUAGUAACCUCGAAGCCUUUAAGCAUUUUAAGGUGGUCUACAAUGUGUUCUUUGAAUUGACUAUUUGUGUAUAUCUGGUAUUUGAUUGACUAUCAUAAACAAUUCUAACUUUACUCAACACCUCCUCUCCAAACAAAAAGAAGAAGAAGAAGAAGAAGAAGAAGAAGAAGAAGAAGAAGAAGAAGAACUCUUAGAACUUAGAACUCUAAUUAUUACAUUGAUAUUCUUAACACACCAAGAAAAUGGACAAAUUUUCUCUUAGAACUCUAAUUAUUACAUUGAUAUUCUUAAAUUAUAGUCUGUACUUUUAACCCAUGGAACUUUUUUGUCUAAACUUAAAAUAUUACAAAUAUAGCCUUUGCUUAUGUCCAUUGUUUACUUAAUAGCUCAAGUCAAAAGUUUAACUUACAUCUUACGCUGAUGUGUCUUCGAGAAACAUGAAUAAGAGCAACUAGUGAUACGUCUACAAACAACCUGUAAUACUCUUUUAAUAUACUGAAACAACGAAAACUCUCUUAAAUUACCCAAAAUUUGUGACUCAGUUUAAUAAGUGAAUAACAUAGAGAAAUAAGUACUAUACUUGUAAUAUUUUUAAUUUUGUGCUAAAAAGUCAGCAUGAGGUUAAUAUUCAGGCAAUAAUUUAAGAAUAUGACUUAUUACCUUGAAAACUGAAAAAAAUGAACAGUUGGCAUUGAUAACCUGGGAGGAUAAUAUUAAACUAUAAAUUGUUAAUGAGACACUUUUGGGGUCAUAAUUCAUCUACAAGUAGGACACUUGUUGGAGGAGGUAGGGAGUGAUGUGGAAUGUGAGAAUAUCACUUUUGACUUUUGUUGGUAUCUCUUAUCUCAUUGCAUAUUGCAAUCAAUUAUCACCUUACCCGCACAGAAAAGAGAAACUCGUCAGAUUUAUAGCUAACUAACUUAUGUCAAUAUCAUACUCCUUGGCGUGUUCAUUAUGGUAUCAUUGAUUUCAAUAUACAUAAAAUUUAGUCAACAACUAUGUAUAACAUGUCAAAUGCAAAUUUGCAUUCACCUGUGGCAUUGUUGCAAGUACUGCAGCUGUUGCCCCAAGCUUGAUGCUUCCCUUUGCCAAAACUACAAUAAAGACAAAAUGGAUGAUUAGUCUAAUUGGCCAUAAUUCUGCUGAUAUCAGGUCUAUAAUAGACUGCAUUAUUCGCAAAUGCUAUGUUGAACCCAAAACUCUUGAAAGGUCUCGUGUAUGUGAAAGUAUCACUAUCCUCAUAAAAUGCUUAGUCAUAUGCAUUGCCUAAGUAAGUAUUGGGAACUAUUGCUGUGUUUUUCAAUUCAUAUAGUGAGUUCUGGACCUAGCAGGUUUCGGUUGGUGAAGCAUUUUCACUAUGCAUAUGGUGUCCAAUCAUGUGUCUGAGCUAAGGUAUACCCUGCUAUUCCCUUCUGUUUACCAAAUGUUUAAAUUGUUCUGAGUGGUAAUAAAUAUUUAAAGCACGGGCAUACAUGUUCACGUUGUGAAUAAAUUCUGUUAAAUUUGGUUUCGUUUAUGGAAUCAUAACAGUAACUUCAAGUAAUGUUUGAUCUUGAUAUCUAGGGAAUAGUUGGUUAAGGAACCUUUUAAAAAACCAAAUUAUUGACAGUUGCUCUUCUGAGGGAAGAAAGGAACAUCUGGAAGAAGAAAGAUUGAUGUAUCCAAUAUAAAUCCUGCAGAACCUAGUAAAAAGGAAUUGUGUGAGUUGUCCCAAAGGGUACUUGUACAGCAUGUAGCACUAGAGUUCUAAAUAAUAUGGAGUGAGAAAUUCCCAUCUGGCUGUUCAAAGUUCAAACUAAUUUUAAGAGCAUGAUCUGUGGAGUUCUCACAUCCUGUAGCUAUGACAUUUUUAGAAUUCAAGAAUUUAAGGUGGUUAAGUACCUAGAAAAUCUGACAAAGGUGUCAAUGUUUGAUCGAGGACUUAGGUUUCUGGAAGGGAAAUCUUAAAUAUUCUAAAAUGUUGGCAAUAUAGUGAUUCUUGUGUACCGGAGGGUGUAUCUUUUUACAGAAAAAUGUAUCUGCCUUUUGAAACCUUAGUCUUCUGUGGGUUGCAACUCGUCAGUAAUUGGGACUUUGAUUUCCAUCAUCCAAUUUUGUUUUAGGCGUAAAAUUCUCAUCUCGAUGAGUCGAUCUCCUGACCUCUUACUUCCUUAAGCAACACACUUAAUGAAUCACCCUUAGCUUCAUCUUUGUAAAAUUUACUUCCACUGAAUCUGCAAGAAUAAAGAAUUUCGGGGGAUGAAUGUUGAAGGGAAGAUACUGGACACCGAAAUUUUGAUGCACUAUUUUGAAGUUACGGGAAUCUCAAUUUCUCUUAAGCCUUGAUAAUCUAUCACUAAUCUUUCAGAGACAUUCUUGUUGUAUCAUGUGGCAAGUUGGCUGCUUUGCUUAAAACUGACUACAUUGAUAUCCUUCUACUCUAAAACUUGGGUUAUGGUUUUAUGCUUCGAGUCCCUGCUAGGAAAAUAGAGCUACAAGUGUUCUAUCUUCUUUGAGAGUGUUCAUUUCUAUGUCAAAGCUUAGAUGCUGCUAAAACUGAACUUAUUGAAGCAACAUUAUGUGAUAGUAGCUGAAUGCCAAAGAGUUCUCCUAUUGUUGCAAUAUUAAAUCAUAGAUCAAGUCAUAACCAUAUCUUUAACUAUGUUCUAUACUCUUCAUUCUAUGAUCUUCUUUGCUUUCUUGUUCAAAGCUCUUAUAAGCUUUCAUCCAAUGUAAAUCAGUUAAGAUAUCUUGCUAUGCACCACUAGGAAUCAGAAGGCUGAACUUGAUGAUCCAGAUAGGUUAGUGGAGGGAUGUUAGCCUCAUGCCCUUAAGAUAUCUUGCUUAUGUAAUUCUGAUAAAAUUCUUGUUAGCUUCAAUAUGGGAUAGCGAGUGUUCCCACUGGCAAGUUCGUAGGAAGGCAGUUGAUCUGUUGUUGGAUCUCUUUAAGUUGCCCAAUUUGCAAAUAAGUAGAAAUCCAGAACUACUAUAAUUUUGGCUUCUAUGACAACCUUUCCAAGAUUUUCAGUUGAAAUAGUAAGAGUAUCGAUUGCUUAGAAUUUGGCUUCAAGCACGAACCAGUACAAGACGACUGAAGUGCCAAAAUUCUGUAUCCAUUUUUUUAGAUGUUGCAGAGAGAGAAAAAGAGAUUGCAUGUAAUAUGCACAGUUGUUUCUAUGAUAUGCACUAGCACAACUUUGUUCAAAAUUUUUAUCAUUCAGUUUCACCAA